ACAUGAUGAUACAGGAGAAAGGUUUCGCUUACUUGACUGAUUUCAUGUGAAGCAGCACUUCUCUUGGCUGUCUGACUGU